GCGCGAAACCUUCACAAUGCACGAAAGUGUGAUGAGGGUACUCCGAGUGCGCAUACAUUGUAUGUGCUUUUCUGCAGCGUAAAUAGUUGCAGGAAUAAGGGCUGGGCAAGACCGGUGCCAGCCGCCGCGGUAACACCGGCAGCCCUAGUGGUGGUCGCUUUUAUUGGGCCUAAGGCGUCCGUAGCCGGAUAGGCAAGUCUUUGGGUAAAUCCUACGUCUUAAGCGUGGGAAUUCUAAAGAUACUACCUGUCUUGAGGCCGGGAGAGGCUAGAGGUACUCCUGGGGUAGGGGUAAAAUCCUAUAAUCCUGGGGGGACCACCGAUGGCGAAGACAUCUAGCUGGAACGGGCCUGACGGUGAGGGACGAAACCCAGGGGAGCGAGCCGGAUUAGAUACCCGGGUAGUCCUGGGCGUAAAUGAUGUGGGCUUGGUGUGAGCGCAUCGACGAGGUGCGUUUGUGCCGUAGGGAAGCCGUUAAGCCCACCGCCUGGGGAGUACGGUCGCAAGGCUGAAACU
rnacentral:rRNA from 1 species